AUUAGCCAGGCACAGUGGUGUGCACCUGUAGUCCUAACUACUCGGGAGGCUUACGUAGGAGGAUAACUUGAGCCCAAGAGUUGGAGGCUGAAGUGAGCUAUGAUUGCACCACUACAUUCUAGCCUGGGUGACAAAGUGAGGCUGUGUCUCUAAAAAACAGGACAGAUUGCCAGCUUUUGGCCACAGUCCCAAAAUAACAUGACCAAAGAAGAGAUCUCAGCUUCCAGUACCCAGUGACAGGACUGGCUUAGAGCCAGUGGCAUUUCCUCAAAAACUUAAGACUCCUCGAAGGGCCAAUAGAUAGCAAGUUUAUCAGGAAAUGAAGGCUCAGGGAGGGGAAGUGAGGGUUUCAAAGUUACGAAACAGCUGAGACUUGUGGCCACAGGUCUGGAAGACAAGGUCCUAGCCAAAAUCCUGCCGUCUUACUAUUUUCUCCAGAGAUUGGUAAUGAUCGUAUGUGGGAUAUAAAAAUAUUUUUUACAAAAGAAAAGAUAAAUAUUUUUUCCAGGGAAACUGUAAGAGGCAGAUUUGAAAAGGACAAAAACCCUAGGUGUUUCAGGUAGAUUCUAUGAUAGAAUUGUAGAUUCUAGAUUAUUUCAGUUGCAGUUGUCAAACAACAGGCACAAACUGGCUUUCUGCAACAGAAAAAAAUCCAUAAAAGCUUCAGGUAUAGUUGGAUCCAGGAUUCAAUUGAUGCCAUCAAGAAAGUGUCGGGCCAGGCAUGGUGGCUUACGCCUGUAAUCCCAGCACUUUGGGAGGCUGAGGCAGGCAGAUUGUGAGGUCGGGAGUUCGAGACCAGCCUAACCAAUAUGAUGAUACCCCAUCUCUAUUAAAAAUACAAAAAUUAGCCGGGUGUAGUGGUACACGCCUGUAAUCCCAGCUACUCAGGAGGCUGAGGCAGGAGGAUUGCUUGGAGCUGGGAGACGGAGGUUGCAGUGAGCUGAGAUCGCGCCAUUGCACUCCAGCCUAGGCAACAGAGCAACAGCGAGACUCCAUCUC
rnacentral:lncRNA from 1 species